UAGCUGGUCUGAGAGGAUGAUCAGCCACACUGGAACUGAGACACGGUCCAGACUCCUACGGGAGGCAGCAGUGGGGAAUAUUGCACAAUGGGCGCAAGCCUGAUGCAGCCAUGCCGCGUGUGUGAAGAAGGCCUUCGGGUUGUAAAGCACUUUCAGUCGUGAGGAAGGUGGUAGUGUUAAUAGCACUAUCAUUUGACGUUAGCGACAGAAGAAGCACCGGCUAACUCCGUGCCAGCAGCCGCGGUAAUACGGAGGGUGCGAGCGUUAAUCGGAAUUACUGGGCGUAAAGCGCAUGCAGGUGGUUUGUUAAGUCAGAUGUGAAAGCCCGGGGCUCAACCUCGGAAUAGCAUUUGAAACUGGCAGACUAGAGUACUGUAGAGGGGGGUAGAAUUUCAGGUGUAGCGGUGAAAUGCGUAGAGAUCUGAAGGAAUACCGGUGGCGAAGGCGGCCCCCUGGACAGAUACUGACACUCAGAUGCGAAAGCGUGGGGAGCAAACAGGAUUAGAUACCCUGGUAGUCCACGCCGUAAACGAUGUCUACUUGGAGGUUGUGGCCUUGAGCCGUGGCUUUCGGAGCUAACGCGUUAAGUAGACCGCCUGGGGAGUACGGUCGCAAGAUUAAAACUCAAAUGAAUUGACGGGGGCCCGCACAAGCGGUGGAGCAUGUGGUUUAAUUCGAUGCAACGCGAAGAACCUUACCUACUCUUGACAUCCAGAGAACUUUCCAGAGAUGGAUUGGUGCCUUCGGGAACUCUGAGACAGGUGCUGCAUGGCUGUCGUCAGCUCGUGUUGUGAAAUGUUGGGUUAAGUCCCGCAACGAGCGCAACCCUUAUCCUUGUUUGCCAGCGAGUAAUGUCGGGAACUCCAGGGAGACUGCCGGUGAUAAACCGGAGGAAGGUGGGGACGACGUCAAGUCAUCAUGGCCCUUACGAGUAGGGCUACACACGUGCUACAAUGGCGCAUACAGAGGGCAGCAAGCUAGCGAUAGUGAGCGAAUCCCAAAAAGUGCGUCGUAGUCCGGAUUGGAGUCUGCAACUCGACUCCAUGAAGUCGGAAUCGCUAGUAAUCGUGGAUCAGAAUGCCACGGUGAAUACGUUCCCGGGCCUUGUACACACCGCCCGUCACACCAUGGGAGUGGGCUGCAAAAGAAGUAGGUAGUUUAACCUUCGGGAGGACGCUUACCACUUUGUGGUUCAUGACUGGGGUGAAGUCGUAACAAGGUAGCGCUAGGGGAACCUGGCGCUG
rnacentral:rRNA from 1 species